CAGUCGCCGCGGUAAUACGUAGGUGGCAAGCGUUGUCCGGAAUUAUUGGGCGUAAAGGGCUCGCAGGCGGUUUCUUAAGUCUGAUGUGAAAGCCCCCGGCUCAACCGGGGAGGGUCAUUGGAAACUGGGAAACUUGAGUGCAGAAGAGGAGAGUGGAAUUCCACGUGUAGCGGUGAAGUGCGUAGAGAUGUGGAGGAACACCAGUGGCGAAGGCGACUCUCUGGUCUGUAACUGACGCUGAGGAGCGAAAGCGUGGGGAGCAAACAGGAUUAGAUACCCCUGUAGUCCCUGUCUCUUAUAC
rnacentral:rRNA from 1 species